AAUGCAAUAUAGAUGAGAUAGACCAUAACGUGCGAGUCAGAU
rnacentral:misc_RNA from 1 species